CCCUUUCAAAUAUUCUUGUGAUCCACUUUUGAGUUAUGACCCACAGGCUGAGAAACACAGGCCCAGAAGGCAGGAAGAGAAGUGGAUUUGUCAUACAGUUUUGUGUGGGGGUUCGAACUCUGGCAUAGCCUUACAAAGAGUGCGUAUAAAGUGACUUUCCAUUCUAAAACUGUACAGUAUUUCCAAAGACAUUAUAGAACAUUUAGAGAAAGAAUAAGAAUUAAAUGUCUUGCCCUUUUUGGGAUAAUACCAAGUUCUGGCAAGAUCCAUUAGUAACUGUGGUGGCAUCAAACAGUGUAUGCUGAUGCACUGAUAAAGCAGGAAUGCGAAGCCAUGACUUCACGCGCCCAACCAUGGUUUAUUGCUGAAUGUCCUGCCUACCCUUGCUGUGGGGCAUUUGAUAAACAACUCUAGCUGGCUAACUUUUGAUGCAUAUUUCCAGAUCACCUCUUGGGGCUUGUCGGUUCCACUUCUGUGGCUUUUUUUUUCUCAUCUUCCAUUCACUCCCCCAGUCUCCACAUUUCUUUUCAUUCAGUGCAUUGCUGGCUCUUUCAGAAUUGUUUCUAACCAUUACAGCAACUAGUAUUGGAUUACAUUUACUAUGCAUGCCAACUCAAACUGAAAAUAGUUAGGAAUAGAUGUUGUGUGCAUGUGUUAGUAACAGAGGGCGAUAAGGGCCCAUGCAGCUUAUCGUAUCUACAGUUUCUGAAUAACAUGGUUUAAAAACUGAUAGUUUUUUAAUAGUGUGGUUAAAGCAAGUGUUAGUCACAGAGGCAAGACUGAAUUCCUGCACAGCUUGAGUGGUUUGUAGAAGGUUAUUUCAUGGAACAAUUAUUAAAUGUUUUUCAAAUGUACUUAGGGAAACUUCCUGACUCUCUUGCAUGCAUGUGUUUUUCCUCUUUCCCUCUCUCUCUCUUUCUUCUUUCACUCUUCUCCCUUUCCCUCCCCUCCCCUCCCCUCCCCCCAUCUUUGUUUUUAAAAACUAAAAAGGUAAUCUUUGAUUCCAAGAUAAAGUUAUCAAUCUUUAUUACUUAAGGGAAAAUCCUUCAACCUACUGGAGAAUAUUGUAGUUUACUAAAAAAGCAAACAAAGCUUUAAAACACCUUUGACCAAGUUUGCUACACUUAAAACAGAUGGCGUGGAAGGGUAUGGUUGAACUCACCAUGCAUCCUUUAUUAUGUUUCAAUAUUGCUGCCCUCAGAACAAACAAACCAGAGGCAAAUCUUACUUAGAAAAUAUGCACAUUUUUGACAGUUUUCAGUGGCCCUCUGAAAACUGAGAAUGGACCUAAAUAGUGUUCUACUAGUGCCUUACUUCUGUUGAUAUAGUAUGUUCUACUGAAACAGUUAGUGCAAAAUGUAUCUCUUUGUAUUACCACGGUAGGCUACUUUACUUUUCCCAUGUUGUAUGUGAGAUACCCUUUUUUCUUGUCCUUGCUAACAAUGAUUUUAUUUGGAGCACUCGCUCAAGGGAAUUCUUUAAAAAGAAAGAGUGAACAUUAUCAGAUUGAGAUUUAGUAGAAUCCUUAAGAAUCAGCCUAAAAUUCAUCAACUUUAAUAUUAAGGAGCUCAGGUUAUUUGAGAUCAUAAGUGAAUGUCUGUGCUCUGAGGUUUUUGACUUCACAGGCAAUCUGAGGGAGUAAAUUCAUGAGCAAAUUACUCUAAAUUAUCCCAAAAGGCUGGGUGGUGGGUAGACUUACUGUGUAUUAACCAGUCUGUGGUAACUGUGCAUCUGCUAUGUUCCACAGUAAGUGGAAGUGAAACCAUGUUAAUUUUAACAGUUUCAUUUAGGGGUCAGUCACCCUAGUUUCACUUCCACUGACCACAAGGUAAAGCGAAUGCACAAAAUAGUAUGCUAGGCAUAUGACUUACAGCAGAGGUCUGCAACCUGUGGCCUGUGAAUCUUGGGGGCUUUGGCAGGAUUUGGUGUUGUGAGGUGUGCAGGGGAGGGGCUUUGUCUGCACUGUGCUGUGGCCACAACUAGGGGAGAAGCACUGGUAGCAGCUACUGGAUCCGAGCAUGAGCCCACUUCCAGCCUGGACUGGGUCUUCCCAGCCUACUGUCCGAAAGCGUUGCCCCUUACCCUUUUAAAUUAGUAGAAUUUGUCCAUUGGACACACUCUGUAUAAAGUGAAUUUACAGGAUUUAAAGUGCACAUUAAGACUGUGACCUACUUAGUCUUCAGUAAACUUUUAUUUUGUGUUUGUAUGUUUUGAAACUUCCUAAUGUUUGUGGAUUAUUCUAAAUACAGCCUUUAUAAUUUUCUGUCAUUGUUAUCAUUGUGAGAGUUAGCUGUUUGUUUGGAGGUAGGUCUUUGGUUUUUUUUGGUGGUGGGUUGUUGUUAUAGAGAAUAAUUUCCCACUGUGUUUUCCCCUAUAAGAUUGUAGUAUAUAUUUAUCACUCAUCUGCAGUUCAGCACUCCUUGACUGGGAAUCUAAUGCUGCUUUCCUUUUAAUUUUAUUUUUAACAGAGAACAAUGGUCACUUUUGUAAUCUGCCAAAUGAACUAGUUUCAGUUCAAAGUCUUUUCUACCUGGACUGUGCAAAUAAUAUUUUGUUUGUGCAUGUGUGUGUGUGAUUCCCCAGCUUUCACAAAUGCUGCACCAGUAGCAUAUUUUAACAGCAUUCUAGUGCUAUUUUUAACUAAUUGGUUUUAAAUCUAUUUUGGUUUGUUAAAUACAGCACCACCUGAAUUGGUGUUUGUAGUGUGUGUAACAUAUUUAUAUGCUUAACCUUACCAAAUUCCAUUUUCAUCUGUACCCAACUCUUUUUCCC